AUUGAACGCUGGCGGCAGGCCUAACACAUGCAAGUCGAACGGUAACAGGAAGAAGCUUGCUUCUUUGCUGACGAGUGGCGGACGGGUGAGUAAUGUCUGGGAAACUGCCUGAUGGAGGGGGAUAACUACUGGAAACGGUAGCUAAUACCGCAUAACGUCGCAAGACCAAAGAGGGGGACCUUCGGGCCUCUUGCCAUCGGAUGUGCCCAGAUGGGAUUAGCUUGUUGGUGGGGUAACGGCUCACCAAGGCGACGAUCCCUAGCUGGUCUGAGAGGAUGACCAGCCACACUGGAACUGAGACACGGUCCAGACUCCUACGGGAGGCAGCAGUGGGGAAUAUUGCACAAUGGGCGCAAGCCUGAUGCAGCCAUGCCGCGUGUAUGAAGAAGGCCUUCGGGUUGUAAAGUUCUUUCAGCGGGGAGGAAGGGAGUAAAGUUAAUACCUUAGCUCAUUGACGUUACCCGAAGAAGAAGCACCGGCUAACUCCGUG
rnacentral:rRNA from 1 species